rnacentral:rRNA from 1 species
UAAGACGAACCGUGCGAACGUUAUUCGGAAUCACUGGGCUUAAAGCGCGUGUAGGCGGGGCGGUGCGUCGGCCGCUGAAAUCCCCCGGCUCAACCGGGGAAGGGGCGCCGAUACGACCGUCCUGGAGCGACGUAGGGGGAACUGGAACUUCCGGUGGAGCGGUGAAAUGCGUUGAGAUCGGAAGGAACGCCCGUGGCGAAAGC